rnacentral:rRNA from 1 species
UACGAAGGGGGCUAGCGUUGUUCGGAAUUACUGGGCGUAAAGCGCGCGCAGGCGGCUCUUCAAGUCAGGGGUGAAAGCCCAGAGCUCAACUCUGGAACUGCCUUUGAGACUGAAGAGCUUGAGUACGGGAGAGGUGAGUGGAAUUCCCAGUGUAGAGGUGAAAUUCGUAGAUAUUGGGAAGAACACCGGUGGCGAAGGCGGCUCGCUGGCCCGUUACUGACGCUCAGGCGCGACAGCGUGGGGAUCAAACAGG